rnacentral:rRNA from 1 species
GGCGAACGCUGGCGGCGUGCUUAACACAUGCAAGUCGAACGGAAAGGCCCUGCUUUUGUGGGGUGCUCGAGUGGCGAACGGGUGAGUAACACGUGAGUAACCUGCCCUUGACUUUGGGAUAACUUCAGGAAACUGGGGCUAAUACCGGAUAGGAGCUCCUGCUGCAUGGUGGGGGUUGGAAAGUUUCGGCGGUUGGGGAUGGACUCGCGGCUUACCAGCUUGUUGGUGGGGUAGUGGCUUACCAAGGCUUUGACGGGUAGCCGGCCUGAGAGGGUGACCGGCCACAUUGGGACUGAGAUACGGCCCAGACUCCUACGGGAGGCAGCAGUGGGGAAUAUUGCACAAUGGGCGGAAGCCUGAUGCAGCAACGCCGCGUGCGGGAUGACGGCCUUCGGGUUGUAAACCGCUUUCGCCUGUGACGAAGCGUGAGUGACGGUAAUGGGUAAGGAAGCACCGGCUAACUACGUG